GAUGAAGAACGUAGCGAAAUGCGAAAAGUAGUGUGAAUUGCAGAAUUCAGUGAAUCAUCGAAUCUUUGAACGCACAUUGCGCCCCUUGGUAUUCCAUGGGGCAUGCCUGUUCGAGCGUCAUUUGUACCCUCAAGCCCCCGGGUUUGGUGUUGGGGAUCGGCUCUGCCCUUCUGGGCGGUGCCGCCCCCGAAAUACAUUGGCGGUCUCGCUGCAGCCUCCAUUGCGUAGUAGCUAACACCUCGCAACUGGAACGCGGCGCGGCCAUGCCGUAAAACCCCAACUUCUGAAUGUUGACCUCGGAUCAGGUAGGAAUACCCGCUGAACUUAAGCAUAUCAAUAAGCGGAGGA
rnacentral:misc_RNA from 1 species